rnacentral:rRNA from 1 species
UACAGAGGGUGCGAGCGUUGUCCGGAAUCACUGGGCGUAAAGGGCGCGUAGGUGGCUGGGUAAGUGUGCGGUGAAAGCCCGGGGCUCAACCCCGGGUCGGCCGUGCAGACUGCUUGGCUUGAGCAUAGUAGAGGCAGGUGGAAUUCCGGGUGUAGCGGUGGAAUGCGUAGAGAUCCGGAAGAACACCGGUGGCGAAGGCGGCCUGCUGGGCUAUUGCUGACACUGAGGCGCGACAGCGUGGGGGAGCAAACAGG